CUCGGGAAGGAACUUGUUUUGGUGGAACGUGUGGUUCAAAAGUUGUUUUAGGCGUUGAACAGAAACCUCCGAUUGGACAGAUAGUCUAGCUAGCAGUCUGGAUUUACCCUGCCGAGAUCUGAGGACCAGGUAACCGUGGUCCUCACAAAUCCACCGGAGGUUAGAACACCUUC